GACGAACGCUGGCGGCGUGCCUAAUACAUGCAAGUCGAACGAGAGCGACCGGUGCUUGCACUGGUCAAUCUAGUGGCGAACGGGUGAGUAACACGUGGGUAACCUGCCCAUCAGAGGGGGAUAACAUCCGGAAACGGAUGCUAAAACCGCAUAGGUCUUCGAGCCGCAUGGCUUGAAGAGGAAAAGAGGCGCAAGCUUCUGCUGAUGGAUGGACCCGCGGUGCAUUAGCUAGUUGGUGAGGUAACGGCUCACCAAGGCCGUGAUGCAUAGCCGACCUGAGAGGGUGAUCGGCCACAUUGGGACUGAGACACGGCCCAAACUCCUACGGGAGGCAGCAGUAGGGAAUCUUCCGCAAUGGACGCAAGUCUGACGGAGCAACGCCGCGUGAGUGAAGAAGGUUUUCGGAUCGUAAAACUCUGUUGUUAGAGAAGAACAAGUGCUAGAGUAACUGUUAGCGCCUUGACGGUAGCUAACCAGAAAGCCACGGCUAACUACGUG
rnacentral:rRNA from 1 species